rnacentral:rRNA from 1 species
GAUGAGCGCUGGCGGCGUGCCUAAUACAUGCAAGUCGAGCGAACGGACGAGAAGCUUGCUUUUCUGAUGUUAGCGGCGGACGGGUGAGUAACACGUGGAUAACCUACCUAUAAGACUGGGAUAACUUCGGGAAACCGGAGCUAAUAUCGGAUAAUAUUUUGAACCGCAUGGUUCAAAAGUGAAAGACGGUCUUGCUGUCACUUAUAGAUGGAUCCGCGCUGCAUUAGCUAGUUGGUAAGGUAACGGCUUACCAAGGCAACGAUGCAUAGCCGACCUGAGAGGGUGAUCGGCCACACUGGAACUGAGACACGGUCCAGACUCCUACGGGAGGCAGCAGUAGGGAUUCUUCCGCAAUGGGCGAAAGCCUGACGGAGCAACGCCGCGUGAGUGAUGAAGGUCUUCGGAUCGUAAAACUCUGUUAUUAGGGAAGAACAUAUGUGUAAGUAACUGUGCACAUCUUGACGGUACCUAAUCAGAAAGCCACGGCUAACUACGUG